UGGGUAACCUGCCUCAAACGAGGGGAAUAGGCCUCCCGAAAGGGAGAUUAAUACCGCAUAAUAGUGUUUUAGUCGCAUGACUGAAACAUCAAAGGAAUUUCUUCGGAGAUUUCACUUUGAGAUGGACCCGCGGCGCAUUAGCUAGUUGGUGAGGUAACGGCUCACCAAGGCGACGAUCAGUAGCCGGCUUGAGAGAGUGAUCGGCCACACUGGGACUGAGACACGGCCCAGACUCCG
rnacentral:rRNA from 1 species